rnacentral:rRNA from 1 species
UACGGAGGGAGCUAGCGUUGUUCGGAAUUACUGGGCGUAAAGCGCGCGUAGGCGGCUUUGUAAGUUAGAGGUGAAAGCCCGGGGCUCAACCCCGGAACUGCCUUUAAGACUGCAUCGCUUGGAUCCAGGAGAGGUGAGUGGAAUUCCGAGUGUAGAGGUGAAAUUCGUAGAUAUUCGGAAGAACACCAGUGGCGAAGGCGGCUCACUGGACUGGUAUUGACGCUGAUGUGCGAAAGCGUGGGGAGCAAACAGG